CAGCAGCCACGGUAAUACAGAGGGUGCAAGCGUUAAUCGGAAUUACUGGGCGUAAAGCGCGCGUAGGUGGUUUGUUAAGUUGGAUGUGAAAUCCCCGGGCUCAACCUGGGAACUGCAUCCAAAACUGGCAAGCUAGAGUAUGGUAGAGGGUGGUGGAAUUUCCUGUGUAGCGUUGAAAUGCGUAGAUAUAGGAAGGAACACCAGUGGCGAAGGCGACCACCUGGACUGAUACUGACACUGAGGUGCGAAAGCGUGGGGAGCAAACAGGAUUAGAUACCCGUGUAGUCCCUGUCUCUUAUAC
rnacentral:rRNA from 1 species